UUUUGAAGAGGGACCAUUGUCUUGGACCAGAGCUCAGAACCAGGAAUCAGGCUUGUGUUUGUCUGUUGAAAGACCUGGAGUGGUAGCUGUGUUCCUGACUUGGCCCUCAUGAAUACGCAGGGCACGUCCGUUAGGUCCCGGCUGAAGUUUGAAUUCACUGGAUAAUGUACUGUCGGAUCCCUUAUCAGACCUCACUCAGGUGGAAGAGAGCUGCCAUCCACUCAAAUAUGCCAGUUUCUCCUAACACCAGGAGCUUUGAGAAGAUCUGCACCUUGGAAGGGCAAGGGCAAUGUCAUCAGCAGAGCUUGACAAUAAGCAAAGGUGACAACAACUUGGACUGAUCCCACCUGCCUAGAAGUACCUUCUGGGGAACCCUCCAAAACUUUGGGAGAGCCAAGCAAAAUUUUAUAAGAAGCCAGAAUCAAUGUAAUUUAGGUUACAAAGGGAAAACAAUAUAAUCGACUAUGUCUCAAACUUGUAGGGAGGGAAAGAUUUUUGAGACCCGAAAUGAUGGAAGAAUUCUCUAUUUUAUAUCAUGGAAGCUUUAUAUCUGGAAUUUUCACCUAGAUUUAAAAAUUAGUGUACAAAUUGCAGAUGAUAGUCUCCAAUCACUUUUCACAAUAGUUAUUGUAGAUCUUUCGUUGUUUUAUAUGAUUAAAUUUGGUUUCUUUCUCAUGUGGCCGAGUUAUGCCCAUGGUUGAAUAAUUUUGGUAAUACAAAAAACCAACUCUUGCUUCAGUUUAUCAACAAAAUUGCUUUCUGAAUUUCCCAGUAUGUUUUGUCUUUUUUUUAAAUAAAAAUCAAG